rnacentral:lncRNA from 1 species
AGGAUGACAGCACGAGCCAUAGCGACCACCAAGAUCCCAUCUCGUUAGCUGUGGAGAUGGCGGCCGUCAACCACACUAUCUUGGCAUUGGCCCGGCAGGGAGCCAAUGAAAUCAAGACAGAGGCCCUGGAUGAUGACUGAUCAGGGAGUUAAACAGUUAACUUAGUUUAGACGUAGCACCUUAGCAGACUUUCCUCGGUCCUUAACAUGUGUUCUUACAGUAUAACUUACAGUUCCUUGUAUGUCAGGUAGCCAUUAGGGUCUUGUUCUGUGAAGAUGGCAUGGUGCCCUCAUUCAGCCUUUGCAUAUACUCUCUCAGUAUUCAAACUCCAGUAAGUAAGAAGCAAACAGACAAACCUCCCUCUCCCAGCCCCUGAGGUGAAAAGACAAAUCUCGCUGCUCUGUCUUAGCAUUCCAAGAAAGUGCUUCCAAGUAUUUAGAUAACCCUCAGUUCUCAAAUAUUAGGCUCUGUGUAAAAUCUUGGGUACCUUUAGAUUCCUGUAAAACUAGGCUGUACCCCGUCCCCGCCCUAAGACUGAUGGGAUGCAGGCUGAGGCAGUGGCACAGGGCCGACAGACACCAUCUGGCAAGGAUCCGUGGAGCGGAGCACAAGGAACAUAGAGCCCCACCUCGGCGUGAGACGCACUGAUUCAGCUGCAAUAAGCCGCCUCCUGUCACAGUGUGGCCAGGCUCUACUUCUCUGGGUGCUGUGUUACGAAUGUCGUUGGAAUCCCAAGCUCAGAUCUUGGUUAAUGCUAAUGCCCAACACAGACAUCCUUCUGUCUUACAAGCUGUGUGACCUAGUAGAUAAUAUACUGCCUUCCGCCUUUGGGACCACGAUUCUAAAACAAAAAAGACAAA